UACGAAGGGUGCAAGCGUUACUCGGAAUUACUGGGCGUAAAGCGUGCGUAGGUGGUGAGUUAAGUCUGAUGUGAAAUCCCCGGGCUCAACCUGGGAAUGGCAUUGGAUACUGGCUCGCUAGAGUGCGGUAGAGGGUGGUGGAAUUCCCGGUGUAGCAGUGAAAUGCGUAGAGAUCGGGAGGAACAUCUGUGGCGAAGGCGGCCACCGGGACCAACACUGACACUGAGGCACGAAAGCGUGGGGAGCAAACAGG
rnacentral:rRNA from 1 species